AUUCAACGGCCGCGGUACCCUAACCGUGCGAAGGUAGCGUAAUCACUUGUCUCCUAAAUAGAGACCUGUAUGAACGGUUACUUGAGAGUUCCACUGUCCCCUAUAACCAAUCAAUGAAACUGAUCUUUCAGUGCAAAAGCUGAAAUAUCACCACAAGACGAAAAGACCCCGUGGAGCUUAAAACCUACCACUAUAAUAUUAAACACAACCCUAUUAAUAGUAUAAAUUUUUAGUUGGGGCAACUGCGGAAGAAAAAAGAACCUCCAUGAAAACCAGGCUAACCCCUGCUACAAGGCCUACAAGCCAAAAAGAGUUAAUGGUUGACCCAGUAAUACUGACUACCGAGCCAAGUUACCCCGGGGAUAACAGCGCCAUCCCCCUAAAGAGUCCAUAUCAUCGGGGGGGUUUACGACCUCGAUGUUGGAUCAGGACACCCAGGUGGUGCAGCAGCUACCAAAGGUUCGUUUGUUCAACGAUCAAUGUCCUACGUGAUCUG
rnacentral:rRNA from 1 species